AUGGAUAAAUAACUCCCUAAAGCCAGUCCCAACAAGCUUGCACUGAACAUCAAGAAGCCUGACAAGUCCUUCAAAUGCAAGAAGCCCACCCAAAACGUGCUGGUCUUUUUAAUCAACAGACAACUGGGCAGGCACAGAAGUGACAUCGGCCUGUCAAGGUGGCUAUGGAUGCUGUCAUAAAGCAACUCCAGGGUGAACAUGGCCUUGGACAAAAAGUCAUGUGGCUUAUGUGCUGAGGCCUGCCCAGAAUUUUGAGACAUUAAUCAGAAUUAGAACAAUGAACUCCUCCCAUGUUUGAGCUAUUAAAA